GACGAACGCUGGCGGCGUGCCUAAUACAUGCAAGUCGAGCGCAGGAAGCCAUCUGAACCCUUCGGGGGGACGACGGUGGAAUGAGCGGCGGACGGGUGAGUAACACGUAAAGAACCUGCCCAUAGGUCUGGGAUAACCACGAGAAAUCGGGGCUAAUACCGGAUGUGUCAUCGGACCGCAUGGUCCGCUGAUGAAAGGCGCUCCGGCGUCGCCCAUGGAUGGCUUUGCGGUGCAUUAGCUAGUUGGUGGGGUAACGGCCCACAAAGGCGACGAUGCAUAGCCGACCUGAGAGGGUGAUCGGCCACACUGGGACUGAGACACGGCCCAGACUCCUACGGGAGGCAGCAGUAGGGAAUCUUCCACAAUGGACGAAAGUCUGAUGGAGCAACGCCGCGUGAACGAUGAAGGCUUUCGGGUCGUAAAGUUCUGUUGUAAGGGAAGAACAAGUGCCGCAGGCAAUGGCGGCACCUUGACGGUACCUUGCGAGAAAGCCACGGCUAACUACGUGCCAGCCGCCGCGGUAAUAC
rnacentral:rRNA from 1 species